rnacentral:misc_RNA from 1 species
GAUGAAGAACGUAGCGAAAUGCGAUAAGUAAUGUGAAUUGCAGAAUUCAGUGAAUCAUCGAAUCUUUGAACGCACAUUGCGCCCUUUGGUAUUCCAAAGGGCAUGCCUGUUCGAGCGUCAUUUGUACCCUCAAGCUUUGCUUGGUGUUGGGCGUCUUGUCUCUAGCUUUGCUGGAGACUCGCCUUAAAGUAAUUGGCAGCCGGCCUACUGGUUUCGGAGCGCAGCACAAGUCGCACUCUCUAUCAGCAAAGGUCUAGCAUCCAUUAAGCCUUUUUUUUCAACUUUUGACCUCGGAUCAGGUAGGGAUACCCGCUGAACUUAAGCAUAUCAAUAAGCGGAGGA